GACGAACGCUGGCGGCGUGCUUAACACAUGCAAGUCGAACGGAAAGGCCCUGCUCUUGUGGGGUGCUCGAGUGGCGAACGGGUGAGUAACACGUGAGUAACCUGCCCUUGACUUUGGGAUAACUUCAGGAAACUGGGGCUAAUACCGGAUAGGAGCUCCUGCUGCAUGGUGGGGGUUGGAAAGUUUCGGCGGUUGGGGAUGGACUCGCGGCUUAUCAGCUUGUUGGUGGGGUAGUGGCUUACCAAGGCUUUGACGGGUAGCCGGCCUGAGAGGGUGACCGGCGACAUUGGGACUGAGAUACGGCACAGACUCCUACGGGAGGCAGCAGUGGGGAAUAUUGCACGAUGAGCGGAAGCCUGAUGCAGCAACGCCGCGUGCGGGAUGACGGCCUUCGGGUUGUAAACCGAUUUCGCAUGUGACGAAGCGUGAGUGACGGUAAUGUAUAAAGAAGCACCGGCUAACUACGUG
rnacentral:rRNA from 1 species